GACGAACGCUGGCGGCGUGCCUAAUACAUGCAAGUAGAACGCUGAAGGAGGAGCUUGCUUCUCUGGAUGAGUUGCGAACGGGUGAGUAACGCGUAGGUAACCUGCCUGUUAGCGGGGGAUAACUAUUGGAAACGAUAGCUAAUACCGCAUAAGAGUAGAUGUUGCAUGACAUUUGCUUAAAAGGUGCAAUUGCAUCACUACCAGAUGGACCUGCGUUGUAUUAGCUAGUUGGUGGGGUAACGGCUCACCAAAGCGACGAUACAUAGCCGACCUGAGAGGGGGGUCGGCCAAACUGGGAAUGGGACACGGCCCAGACUCCUACGGGAGGCAGCAGUAGGGAAUCUUCGGCAAUGGACGGAAGGCUGGCCGAGGCACGCCGGGUGAGUGGAGAAGGGUCUCGGAUCGUAAAGAUCUGUUGUAAGGGAAGAACGAGUGUGAGAGUGGAAAGUUCACACUGUGACGGUAUCUUACCAGAAAGGGACGGCUAACUACGUG
rnacentral:rRNA from 1 species